rnacentral:rRNA from 1 species
AGGAUUCCCCUAGUAACUGCGAGUGAAGCGGGAAAAGCUCAAAUUUAAAAUCUGGCGGUCUUUUGCCGUCCGAGUUGUAAUCUAGAGAAGUAAUGCCCGUGCUGGACCGUGUAUAAGUCUCCUGGGAUGGGGCGUCAUAGAGGGUGAGAAUCCCGUCUUUGACACGGACUACCAGUGCAUUGUGGUAUGCUCUCAAAGAGUCGAGUUGUUUGGGAAUGCAGCUCAAAAUGGGUGGUAAAUUCCAUCUAAAGCUAAAUAUUGGCGAGAGACCGAUAGCGAACAAGUACCGUGAGGGAAAGAUGAAAAGAACUUUGGAAAGAGAGUUAAACAGUACGUGAAAUUGCUGAAAGGGAAACGCUUGAAGUCAGUCGCGUUGGCCAGGGAUCAGCCUUGCUUUUGCAUGGUGUAUUUUCUGGUUAACGGGUCAGCAUCAAUUUUGACCACUGGAAAAGGGCCUGGGGAAUGUGGCAGCUUAGGCUGUGUUAUAGCCCCUGGUCGCAUACAGUGGUUGGGAUUGAGGAAUUCAGCACGCCGCAAGGCCGGGUUUCGACCACGUUCGUGCUUAGGAUGCUGGCAUAAUGGCUUUAAGCGACCCGUCUUGAAACACGGACCAAGGAGUCUAACAUGCCUGCGAGUAUUUGGGUGGAAAACCCGAGUGCGCAAUGAAAGUGAAAGUUGAGAUCCCUGUCGUGGGGAGCAUCGACGCCCGGACCAGAACUUUUGGGACGGAUCCGCGGUGGAGCAUGUAUGUUGGGACCCGAAAGAUGGUGAACUAUGCCUGAAUAGGGUGAAGCCAGAGGAAACUCUGGUGGAGGCUCGUAGCGAUUCUGACGUGCAAAUCGAUCGUCAAAUUUGGGUAUAGGGGCGAAA